ACCUGCAGAAGAAGCGCCGGCUAACUACGUGCCAGCAGCCGCGGUAAUACGUAGGGCGCAAGCGUUGUCCGGAAUUAUUGGGCGUAAAGAGCUAGUAGGUGGCUUGUCGCGUCUGCCGUGAAAACCCGAGGCUCAACCUCGGGCGUGCGGUGGGUACGGGCAGGCUAGAGUGUGGUAGGGGAGACUGGAACUCCUGGUGUAGCGGUGAAAUGCGCAGAUAUCAGGAAGAACACCGAUGGCGAAGGCAGGUCUYUGGGCCAUUACUGACACUGAGAAGCGAAAGCAUGGGUAGCGAACAGGAUUAGAUACCCUGGUAGUCCAUGCCGUAAACGUUGGGCACUAGGUGUGGGGGGCAUUCCACGUUUUCCGCGCCGUAGCUAACGCAUUAAGUGCCCCGCCUGGGGAGUACGGCCGCAAGGCUAAAMCCUWAAGGAAUUGACGGGGGCCCGCACAAGCGGCGGAGCAUGCUGAUUAAUUCGAUGCAACGCGAAGAACCUUACCAAGGCUUGACAUGCRCUGGACGGCUGCAGAGAUGUGGCUUUCUUUGGACUGGUGCACAUGGUGGUGCAUGGUGUCGUCAGCUCGUGUCGG
rnacentral:rRNA from 1 species